rnacentral:rRNA from 1 species
GACGUAGGGCGCGAGCGUUGUCCGGAAUCAUUGGGCGUAAAGCGCGCGUAGGUGGUCUCGUAAGUCCGCUGUGAAAGUCAAAGGCUCAACCUUUGAAAGCCGGUGGAUACUGUGGGACUAGAGUACGGAAGAGGCGAGUGGAAUUCCUGGUGUAGCGGUGGAAUGCGCAGAUAUCAGGAGGAACACCAAUGGCGAAGGCAGCUCUCUGGUACGUGACUGACACUGAGACGCGAAAGCGUGGGGAGCGAACAGG